rnacentral:lncRNA from 1 species
UUGAACUUAGACUUCCCAGCCUUGAGAACUCAUCAUGACCAGAUGUCACAUGGGUCUAUGAUGCCAAAGAAGGAAGAUCCCUUGAGAACAUGCUCCUAUUUGGCCAUUCUGUGUUCCAUCUCCCUCUCUCCUGCCCCCAACAGACGGAGAGCUCUUGUGUUCCACCUUGACAUGAGGACAUGUGUGUGUUGGCAGGAGAGGGUCCUGUGAUGAUGUC